GCUCCUGUGGAAUAGUGGUUAGAGUGUCCGCCUCGGAUGCGAGAGGGCAUGGGUUCGAUCCCCCUUUGAGUCA